GGGUGAGUAACGCGUGGGAACGUACCCUCUUCUGCGGGAUAGCCACUGGAAACGGUGAGUAAUACCGCAUACGCCCUUCGGGGGAAAGAUUUAUCGGAGGAGGAUCGGCCCGCGUUGGAUUAGGUAGUUGGUGGGGUAAUGGCCUACCAAGCCUACGAUCCAUAGCUGGUUUUAGAGGAUGAUCAGCCACACUGGGACUGAGACACGGCCCAGACUCCUACGGGAGGCAGCAGUGGGGAAUCUUAGACAAUGGGCGCAAGCCUGAUCUAGCCAUGCCGCGUGAGUGACGAAGGCCUUAGGGUCGUAAAGCUCUUUCGCCAGAGAUGAUAAUGACAGUAUCUGGUAAAGAAACCCCGGCUAACUCCGUGCCAGCAGCCGCGGUAAUACGGAGGGGGUUAGCGUUGUUCGGAAUUACUGGGCGUAAAGCGCACGUAGGCGGAUUGGAAAGUUGGGGGUGAAAUCCCAGGGCUCAACCCUGGAACUGCCUCCAAAACUCCCAGUCUGGAGUUCGAGAGAGGUGAGUGGAAUUCC
rnacentral:rRNA from 1 species